UACGUAGGCAGCGAGCGUUGUUCGGAGUUACUGGGCGUAAAGGGUGUGUAGGCGGUUCUUUAAGUUUGGUGUGAAAUCUCCCGGCUCAACUGGGAGGGUGCGCCGAAUACUGAGGGACUAGAGUGCGGGAGGGGAAAGUGGAAUUCCUGGUGUAGCGGUGAAAUGCGUAGAUAUCAGGAGGAACACCGGUGGUGUAGACGGCUUUCUGGACCGUAACUGACGCUGAGACACGAAAGCGUGGGUAGCAAACAGG
rnacentral:rRNA from 1 species